AUCAUUUCACGCGGAUAAUACAGGACGAUUAUUUUAUCGCCGCGAACCAGCGGCGAUUAUCUGUACGCAGAUUUCAGACACCGCGAUAAUAUCGAGAAAAUCGUUUGUCGACAAAAAAACAGAAAAAAAAAAAAACAAAAAAUUAAAAUUAUCUCAUUUUUAAUAUUCUCCGAAUUUCACCACUAUCGUUCGGUAAGGUACCGAAAUCGAAUUUACUCGAAAUAUCCGCGACGUAUGAUCGCCGGUUCGCUCACUCUGUAUGUAUAUAUACACAUA